rnacentral:piRNA from 1 species
UNCAAAGCAUCGUGUCCGAGCUUGACAAGU